GGGGAUUUAGCUCAGUGGUAGAGCCCUUGCCUAGCAAGCGAAAGGCCCUGGGUUCGGUCCCCAGCUCUG
rnacentral:tRNA from 1 species